rnacentral:misc_RNA from 1 species
GAUGAAGAACGUAGCGAACUGCGAUAAGUAAUGUGAAUUGCAGAAUUCAGUGAAUCAUCGAGUCUUUGAACGCACAUUGCGCCCCCUGGCAUUCCGGGGGGCAUGCCUGUCCGAGCGUCAUUGCUGCCCUUCAAGCCCGGCUUGUGUGUUGGGUCGUCGUCCCCCCCGGGGGACGGGCCCGAAAGGCAGCGGCGGCACCGCGUCCGGUCCUCGAGCGUAUGGGGCUUUGUCACCCGCUCGAUUAGGGCCGGCCGGGCGCCAGCCGGCGUCUCCAACCUUCUAUUUUACCAGGUUGACCUCGGAUCAGGUAGGGAUACCCGCUGAACUUAAGCAUAUCAAUAAGCGGAGGG